UACAGAGGGUGCAAGCGUUAAUCGGAAUUACUGGGCGUAAAGGGCGCGUAGGCGGUUUUGUAAGUUAUGUGUGAAAGGUCUGGGCUUAACCUGGGAACUGCACAUAAUACUGUGAGACUAGAGUAGAGUAGAGGAAAGUGGAAUUUCCGGUGUAGCGGUGAAAUGCGUAGAUAUCGGAAGGAACACCAGUGGCGAAGGCGGCUUUCUGGACUCAUACUGACGCUGAGGCGCGAAAGCGUGGGGAGCAAACAGG
rnacentral:rRNA from 1 species